UACAGAGGGGGCAAGCGUUGUUCGGAAUUACUGGGCGUAAAGGGCGCGUAGGGGGCCUGUUAAGUCGAACGUGAAAUCCCUGGGCUCAACCCAGGAACUGCGUCCGAUACUGGCAGGCUUGAAUCCGGGAGAGGGAUGCGGAAUUCCAGGUGUAGCGGUGAAAUGCGUAGAUAUCUGGAGGAACACCGGUGGCGAAGGCGGCAUCCUGGACCGGCAUUGACGCUGAGGCGCGAAAGCCAGGGGAGCAAACGGG
rnacentral:rRNA from 1 species